GAUGAACGCUGGCGGCGUGCCUAAUACAUGCAAGUCGAGCGAACAGACGAGGAGCUUGCUCCUCUGACGUUAGCGGCGGACGGGUGAGUAACACGUGGAUAACCUACCUAUAAGACUGGGAUAACUUCGGGAAACCGGAGCUAAUACCGGAUAAUAUAUUGAACCGCAUGGUUCAAUAGUGAAAGACGGUUUUGCUGUCACUUAUAGAUGGAUCCGCGCCGCAUUAGCUAGUUGGUAAGGUAACGGCUUACCAAGGCGACGAUGCGUAGCCGACCUGAGAGGGCGAUCGGCCACACUGGAACUGAGACACGGUCUAGACUCCUACGGGAGGCAGCAGUAGGGAAUCUUCCGCAGUGGGCGAAAGCCUGACGGAGCAACGCCGCGUGAGUGAUGAAGGUCUUCGGAUCGUAAAACUCUGUUAUUAGGGAAGAACAAAUGUGUAAGUAACUAUGCACGUCUUGACGGUACCUAAUCAGAAAGCCACGGCUAACUACGUG
rnacentral:rRNA from 1 species